CUUACACCAUCCUUUAUAAAAUAUGAAGUAACAGUCCAUGCCUCAGGGGUCCAACAGGUGACGGUAGACAAACAGUAUUGGAGAGCACCUCGCAAAGAGAAACCCGAGCCCCUGACAGCCUGUUAGUGGUGAUAAAAGAGGCACAGUGAACAUCCAUCCAAACCGAUGGAAGGAAUGUUGACCCUGGUAGGCAACAUGGUCUUUUGCAGCCGACCUUAAGAGCGGAUACCUUAAAGCACCUAAUUUAGAGAGAUAUCUCUUAAAAACAGACUCUGUGCCAUACAGUGUCUCACCUAAGACAAGUAAACCAGAAGAUACGGUUCCUGAAUUCCUGGAAUAGUUCAGUGGGAGAAGAUCCAUUGCACAAAACGUGCCAGAUGAUGAAUUAAUUGAAAGUGUGAUGAAGAAGUCAAGAGAGCUAGCAAAGUUGGUAACAAGGGAGCUCUAACCUUGGCAGGGGUAUGGGACCAGGAAGGCCUCUUGGGUCAGAAGAAUUCUCUUCCUCUUUCCUGGAAGCUUGUAGUGGA